UAGAGGAAGUAAAAGUCGUAACAAGGUUUCCGUAGGUGAACCUGCGGAAGGAUCAUUAUUGAAAUAAACUGAUAGGUUGCUGCUGGCUCUCUAGGGAGCAUGUGCACACUUGUCGUCUUUAUUAUAUCUCCACCUGUGCACCUUGUGUAGACUGUGGAUAUAUCUUUCUGAGUGGGCUGUGCCUAUCUUAGGUUUUGAGGAUUUGACUGUAUUGUCUGUCUAUCCUUGUCAUGUCCGGGGUCUAUGUGUAAUCAUACACUCUCUUAAUUAAUGUUAUAGAAUGUAAUCAAUAGAUCUUUGUGUCUAUAAAACUAUACAACUUUCAGCAACGGAUCUCUUGGCUCUCGCAUCGAUGAAGAACGCAGCGAAAUGCGAUAAGUAAUGUGAAUUGCAGAAUUCAGUGAAUCAUCGAAUCUUUGAACGCACCUUGCGCUCCUUGGUAUUCCGAGGAGCAUGCUUGUUUGAGUGUCAUUAAUAUAUAUCAGCCUCGUCAAACUUGUUGCUUGUUGAGUGUUGGAUGGUGGGGGUUGCUGGGUCUACUUACUAAGUGGGUCAGCUCCUCUAAAAUGUAUUAGCAAAACAAUUUGUCGAUUCGUUCAUUUGGUGUGAUAAUUAUCUACACUAUUGACGUGAAGCAGGUUUGGCUUCUAACAGUCUAUUAACUUGGACAAGUUUAUCAAUGUGACCUCAAAUCAGGUAGGACUACCCGCUGAACUUAA
rnacentral:rRNA from 1 species